UACUCACUUCCUUCUUCUCCCCCUCAGGUCGCCGUACCUCCAUGGGCCUCCCACUGCUCCCCCCAUGCCUUGCCAACGAACCGGCCAUCCUCUUUGCGCCUUGCCAGUGCCCAGUGCAUGAGGAGGGCGGCGCCGGACUCCCCAACCUCCUUCAAGAACUGAUCCGGCCUUCCCCUCAGCCCUUCUCUGACUCUGUGUUGUGGCCGCACUACACACUGCUGCACGCGCAGUCCACCCCCCGAUGGCGUGCCCGCAUGCUCCCGUGUGCCGCCCCGACGACGGGCCGCCACCCGAUUCAACAGGUGCGUCGCUCCUCCGCAUGUAGUCCCCAAACGCCGUUCUUGCAGUCUGUCGCUACCCUCUGUGUCAAGCAAUCCGCUGAGCUGGAGCUAAAGAUCCAUGGCGCUGGUCGUGCUUUCUCCUGCUGCUCUGUGUGAGGUGAGGACGGGUUCUCUGUUGGCAAGUUCAUUGCGAGACUCCAUGGCGCUGGCAGCGCCGCUCCUUUUCUUGUUGCUACGUCUGAGGCGAGGACGGGCUCUGCCGCACCGGGAACCAUGGUGUUCGCGACACCGGCGAAGACGGCGUGGUGGUUCCCUUCUUCCCCAACAACAAAAGUUGCGGUGCGGCUAUGUAAUUAUUGAAGUCCAGGAAUAUGUUCGGUGUUUUUUUAGAUUUCGUUUGGGCGCAACACUGCAGUUCGCCUGGGUCUUCACUGCGGUACGGACGGGUGUGCAGUCCACCGGCGAGGGUGCUUGCAGUGCGAUGGCGUGAUGCUCACGGUCUUGAAUAAAUUUGUUUGAUGCGA